AGAUUGAACGCGGGCGGCAGGCCUAACACAUGCAAGUCGAGCGGAUGAAGGGAGCUUGCUCCCUGGAUUCAGCGGCGGACGGGUGAGUAAUGCCUAGGAAUCUGCCUGGUAGUGGGGGAUAACGUCCGGAAACGGGCGCUAAUACCGCAUACGUCCUGAGGGAGAAAGUGGGGGAUCUUCGGACCUCACGCUAUCAGAUGAGCCUAGGUCGGAUUAGCUAGUUGGUUGGGUAAAGGCCUACCAAGGCGACGAUCCGUAACUGGUCUGAGAGGAUGAUCAGUCACACUGGAACUGAGACACGGUCCAGACUCCUACGGGAGGCAGUAGUGGGGAAUAUUGGACAAUGGGCGAAAGCCUGAUCCAGCCAUGCCGCGUGUGUGAAGAAGGUCUUCGGAUUGUAAAGCACUUUAAGUUGGGAGGAAGGGCAGUAAGUUAAUACCUUGCUGUUUUGACGUUACCAACAGAAUAAGCACCGGCUAACUUCGUGCCAGCAGCCGCGGUAAUACGAAGGGUGCAAGCGUUAAUCGGAAUUACUGGGCGUAAAGCGCGCGUAGGUGGUUCAGCAAGUUGGAUGUGAAAUCCCCGGGCUCAACCUGGGAACUGCAUCCAAAACUACUGAGCUAGAGUACGGUAGAGGGUGGUGGAAUUUCCUGUGUAGCGGUGAAAUGCGUAGAUAUAGGAAGGAACACCAGUGGCGAAGGCGACCACCUGGACUGAUACUGACACUGAGGUGCGAAAGCGUGGGGAGCAAACAGGAUUAGAUACCCUGGUAGUCCACGCCGUAAACGAUGUCGACUAGCCGUUGGGAUCCUUGAGAUCUUAGUGGCGCAGCUAACGCGAUAAGUCGACCGCCUGGGGAGUACGGCCGCAAGGUUAAAACUCAAAGGAAUUGACGGC
rnacentral:rRNA from 1 species